rnacentral:rRNA from 1 species
GCUCAGUAACACGUGGAUAACCUACCCUUAGGACUGGGAUAACCUUGGGAAACUGAGGAUAAUACUGGGUAGGCAAUUAUUCCUGCAAUGGUUUUUUGUUUAAAUGUUUUUUCGCCUAAGGAUGGGUCUGCGGCCGAUUAGGUAGUUGGUUAGGUAAUGGCUUACCAAGCCGUUGAUCGGUACGGGUUGUGAGAGCAAGAGCCCGGAGAUGGAACCUGAGACAAGGUUCCAGGCCCUACGGGGUGCAGCAGGCGCGAAACCUCCGCAAUGUGAGAAAUCGCGACGGGGGGAUCCCAAGUGCCAUUCUUAACGGGAUGGCUUUUCAUUAGUGUAAAGAGCUUUUGGAAUAAGGGCUGGGCAAGACCGGUGCCAGCCGCCGCGGUAACACCGGCAGCUCUAGUGGUAGCAGUUUUUAUUGGGCCUAAAGCGUCCGUAGCCGGUUUAAUAAGUCUCUGGUGAAAUCCUGUAGCUUAACUGUGGGAAUUGCUGGAGAUACUAUUAGACUUGAGACCGGGAGAGGUUAGAGGUACUCCCAGGGUAGAGGUGAAAUUCUGUAAUCCUGGGAGGACCGCCUGUUGCGAAGGCGUCUAACUGGAACGGUUCUGACGGUGAGGGACGAAAGUUAGGGGCGCGAACCGGAUUAGAUACCCGGGUAGUCCUAACCGUAAACGAUGCGGACUUGGUGUUGGGGUGGCUUUGAGCUGCUCCAGUGCCGAAGGGAAGCUGUUAAGUCCGCCGCCUGGGAAGUACGGUCGCAAGACUGAAACUUAAAGGAAUU